rnacentral:rRNA from 1 species
AUGUUGAACCGCAUGGUUCUACAGUGAAAGACGGUCUUGCUGUCACUUAUAGAUGGACCCGCGCCGUAUUAGCUAGUUGGUGGGGUAACGGCCUACCAAGGCGACGAUACGUAGCCGACCUGAGAGGGUGAUCGGCCACACUGGAACUGAGACACGGUCCAGACUCCUACGGGAGGCAGCAGUAGGGAAUCUUCCGCAAUGGGCGAAAGCCUGACGGAGCAACGCCGCGUGAGUGAUGAAGGUCUUCGGAUCGUAAAGCUCUGUUGUUAGGGAAGAACAAAUGUGUAAGUAACUGUGCACAUCUUGACGGUACCUAACCAGAAAGCCACGGCUAACUACGUGCCAGCAGCCGCGGUAAUACGUAGGUGGCAAGCGUUAUCCGGAAUUAUUGGGCGUAAAGCGCGCGUAGGCGGUUUUUUAAGUCUGAUGUGAAAGCCCACGGCUCAACCGUGGAGGGUCAUUGGAAACUGGAAAACUUGAGUGCAGAAGAGGAAAGUGGAAUUCCAUGUGUAGCGGUGAAAUGCGCAGAGAUAUGGAGGAACACCAGUGGCGAAAGCGGCUUUCUGGUCUGCAACUGACGCUUAUGUGCGAAAGCGUGGGGAUCAAACAGGAUUAGAUACCCUGGUAGUCCACGCCGUAAACGAUGAGUGCUAAGUGUUAGGGGGUUUCCGCCCCUUAGUGCUGCAGCUAACGCAUUAAG